AUUGAACGCUGGCGGCAUGCCUUACACAUGCAAGUCGAACGGUAACAGGUCUUCGGAUGCUGACGAGUGGCGAACGGGUGAGUAAUGCAUCGGAACGUGCCCAGUAGUGGGGGAUAGCCCGGCGAAAGCCGGAUUAAUACCGCACACGACCUGAGGGUGAAAGGGGGGGAUCGCAAGACCUCUCGCUAUUGGAGCGGCCGAUGUCAGAUUAGCUAGUUGGUGGGGUAAAGGCCUACCAAGGCAACGAUCUGUAGUUGGUCUGAGAGGACGACCAGCCACACUGGGACUGAGACACGGCCCAGACUCCUACGGGAGGCAGCAGUGGGGAAUGUUGGACAAUGGGCGCAAGCCUGAUCCAGCAAUGCCGCGUGCAGGAAGAAGGCCUUCGGGUUGUAAACUGCUUUUGUCAGGGAAGAAAUCUUCUGGGUUAAUACCUCGGGAGGAUGACGGUACCUGAAGAAUAAGCACCGGCUAACUACGUGCCAGCCGCCGCAGUAACAC
rnacentral:rRNA from 1 species